UACGUAGGGGGCUAGCGUUGUCCGGAAUCAUUGGGCGUAAAGAGCGUGUAGGCGGCCCGGUAAGUCCGCUGUAAAAGUCAAAGGCUCAACCUUUGAAUGUCAGUGGAUACUGCCGGGCUAGAGUCCGGAAGAGGCGAGUGGAACUCCUGGUGUAGCGGUGGAAUGCGCAGAUAUCAGGAAGAACACCAACGGCGAAGGCAGCUCGCUGGGACGGUACUGACGCUGAGACGCGAAAGCGCGGGGAGCGAACGGG
rnacentral:rRNA from 1 species